rnacentral:rRNA from 1 species
UACGAAGGGGGCUAGCGUUGUUCGGAAUUACUGGGCGUAAAGCGUAUGCAGGCGGAUCGUUAAGUCGGGGGUGAAAUCCCGAGGCUCAACCUCGGAACUGCCUUCGAUACUGGCGACCUUCGAGUCCGGGAGAGGUGAGUGGAACUGCGAGUGUAGAGGUGAAAUUCGUAGAUAUUCGCAAGAACACCAGUGGCGAAGGCGGCUCACUGGCCCGGUACUGACGCUGAGGCACGAAAGCGUGGGGAGCAAACAGG